rnacentral:snRNA from 1 species
AUACUUACCCGGCAGGGGAGAUAUCGUGAUCACGAAGGUGGUUUUCUCAGGGCGAGGCUUAUCCAUUGCACUCCGGAUGUGCUGACCCCUGCAAUUUCCCCAGAUAAAAAAAAGAAAGAAAGAAAC